rnacentral:miRNA from 1 species
UGGUGCAAAGGUAACUGUGGUUUUUGCUAUUUGAAAGUAAUGGCAAAAACUGCAGUUACUUUUGUAUCAA